rnacentral:rRNA from 1 species
CAUUACCGAAUGUUGCCUUGAUGGGUUGUCGCUGGCUUUGAAAACUCAGAGCAUGUGCACACCUGUCUUGACUUCUAUUCAUCCACCUGUGCACCUUUUGUAGUCUUUUUGGGGUCUGGGGAAGCAAGUGUGGCUGUUUUACGCUGUGUUUGUGAUAACCUCCCACUGAAGGCUAUGUUUUUACAUAUACCACUUAGAAUGUAACAGAAUGUGUCAAUGGGCACUUGUGGCCUAUAUAAAUCUAUACAACUUUCAGCAACGGAUCUCUUGGCUCUCGCAUCGAUGAAGAACGCAGCGAAAUGCGAUAAGUAAUGUGAAUUGCAGAAUUCAGUGAAUCAUCGAAUCUUUGAACGCACCUUGCGCUCCUUGGCCAUUCCGAGGAGCAUGCCUGUUUGAGUGUCAUUAAAUUCUCAACCCCACCAGUUUUUGUGACUGGUCUUUGGGGCUUGGAUGUGGAGGUUUUGCUGGCUGCAAGGUCAGCUCCUCUGAAAUGUAUUAGCGGAACCGUUUGCGAUCCGUCACAGGUGUGAUAAUUAUCUACGCCUAGUGGGUUGCUUUCUGCUUGUUCAGCUUAUAAUCGUCCUCACGGACAACUUAUUGAACACUUGACCU